GGGGGCUGCCAUUGUUAGUUAAGUGUCUGUGGCUUCCUGUUCCUCUUAGACCUGAGGGGGUGAAAUUUGAAAUGUAUGGGAUGAUGGUCAGGUAUCUAUUCUUUUCUGAGAGGGCAGCCUUGCAAAUUGUAAAGGUAAAUAAGAAACUAUCUUCUUGUAAGUUGGGUUAAACUGUGUGUUAGUGUUGUGAGUUAGGUUUGCACUUUGAAGGAAGGUGUGUGUGUGUGUGUGUGUGUGUGUGUGUGUGUGUGUUUGUCGGGUGCUGUGAAAACUAUGGUCUUGUAAUUUAGUACAAUAAAGUAUGAGUCUGAAAAUUACACUGAUCUUGUGACAUUAAGGUAGCUACCACUCCUCCCAGAUUCUUUUGUGGGACAUAAGGUUUACAAAGCAUCAGGUUUUGUAAGUAUGACUUUAGACCAGGGUUUGGGUCUUAUCUGAAGGUCUCUGACUCCAAGCAAUAAUCUACUUGGCAAGUGAGUGAUGUGUCUGGGUGAGGCCAUGCCCUAUUGGAAAGGCGUGGUGUUUCCUAACUGAUAAGUAAAGAGUCACAGGGUGGAAGUUAGAAGAUGAAAAUUCUCUCAUAGUGAAUUAUAGACCUGAGAGUUGGGGGCACAGCUAGGAACUGAAAAGCUCCCAAAGUAAAGGUGUAAUUGCUUGUGGGAUUACCCUUUUUCUUGGAGCAAUGUGCAUAACCUUUCUUUUACUUACCUCUUGUAUUUCCUCCUAGAUUUUUUUUAACCCUUCUGAUACAAAAUUAUAGCUUUUUAAAGGUUUGCUUUGGAAAGAAGCCAGAGAUCUUUAUAUCACGGUAAGUUCCAAAUAGAAUUGGAGGAAAUAUCAGAGGAUAAAAUAACCAAAAAACAGAGAACAGUUCUAGUGCUGUGCUAACCAAUAUGGCAGCCACUAAACACAUGUUCUACUGAGACUUUAAACUAAGUUAACAUGUGCUGAAAGUAUAAUAUACGUAGCAGAUUUCAAAGCUUAGUUUAAAAGAAAUAUCUCAAUAUUUUUAUUGCUUGUUGAAAAACUAAUAUUUUGAAUAUAUUAAAUCAUAUAUUUUAUUAAAAUAAUCUUAUUUGUUUCUUUUUAUUAGUUUUAAUGUGCCUACUAACACAUAUAAAAUUACAUAUAAAGCUCACAUACAUUUCUAUUGUACCAGGCCAGUCUAGACUGAGAUUGGCAGGAAGUGAACCAUGGUCAAAAGAAGAAUAGAACGGAACACAAAUUUUGAAUGACAAGGGGCAACAUUGGAACACACACAUGACAAACUCCCUGAGAAACUUGCCCUCUCCCUGUGGGUACCUGAGGGAGAUAACCCAUAAAAAGGGUAGAAAGGUUCAUUUGUGAGUUACAUGUAUACAAUCAUUCAACUUUAUAAAUUAGUAAAUUGAAGCACAAAGAAAUAUAAAAUAGUAAAUCAAGAUCAGAUGAGUAAUUUCUCCCUCAGUUGCUCCUAAUAUUCUAAUGUGUUUAUCUUGGGAAUGUCUCAAUCAAUAGUCUUCUAAUUGUGUGAUCAUUCUGUUACACAAGAAAUACUAAAGUGCUCUUCAGGCCUGUGGUGGGCAAAACCAAUUUUUCUCUUUGGGUCAGAGAGGAAAACUUGUUUUCUAAGUUCCACAAAAACCUGUGGGGGUUGUCAUAGAAAGAGCUGUCACUGCCUGAUUCAAAUAAAGGUCACCAAGCAGGUGAUGGUUGUAAUUCUGGUCCUUCUUUCUAUAUCCCAAAUUCUCACAUCCCUCUAUGUUUAAAGCUUGCAUUUUAUGCAACUAGACUUUUUGUGAAGGAAUUACACUUUUUUUGUCCUAUUAAAAUGUAAUAUAGCUUCCCCUAUGUGUCGGAAAAAUACGGAAAAACAGACAAAAAAGAAAAUGUUAAAACAUUUAUUCCAUCAUGUACUAAAUAUUUUAAAGCGCUUUAUGCACAUAUGAAUGCAUUUAAACUGGGGAUAUUGUUCUAAUAACCAGUUUAUUUUUCAAUUAACAUUGACUCUAUAAAUUUUAUUUCCCACUAAAUAUUGUUCUAAAGCAGCUAUUUUCAAAUAUGGGUGCUUACAGGCCGCCAUGAGGGCAAGUGGGAACUGAGGGCCAGAGAAGGCUAAGCUACUGUGGAUCCACUCGUGUCAGUAUUCUAUUCCACUAUUCUGGAGUCAAGACAUCCUUUGAAAAAACAGAUCCUCUAAUAAACACAUUUGGAUGUAUUUUAUUGGAAAAUAUUAUUUUUAAAGGCUCUUUGAUAUUCUACUGCUUUGGUACCCCAUCCUUCAUUUGACCAAUCCACAUUUUAAAAGUAUUAAAACUUUUCUUGUUUGAUUUUGACACUAUAAAUAGCAAUACAAUAAGUGAUAGCUCAUAAACCUUUUCAGGUAUUUCAGAUGGUUUUGAUAGAAUACGCUUCUAGACGAGCAAUCAUUCCACUAAAUGGUAUUUCUCAUUACUUCUCAGACGUUUGCCUCUGCUAACUUUUAUAUCAGCUCAUGCUACCAAGAGUGUGUGCAUUUUCUAUUUCACUGAAGCAUUGAUUACCAUAUUAUAAUUUUAAGCGGAUUUUAUAGUCUGCAAUGCUUUUUCAUUCUUUACAUUUGUAUUGCUUUCUUUGGUAGUAAAACUAUAGACCAUUUCAUAUUUUCACUGCUACUUUGUUUCUUUUCUUCUAUGAAAUUUCUGCUCCUGUCCUCACUUCAGCUUUUCCUGAUGAAUCAUAUCAGUUUCUUAGAGCUUUUUAAAAUGCAUUAAGCCUUGUUAAUACUCUUUUCUUUUGCUUUUAUAUUCGCAUUUAUAAUUUUGUCCAUAAUAUUAUUUUUACAUAUGGAAGUGUUAAAUUUUCAUUCAUAUAAAUCUUUCUAAGUUGUCCUUAAAAGAUUGUUCCUUUACAUUUAUGGUUAGAGAAGUCUUCCUCAUUCUAUGAUCGGAUACAUUUUUUUUUUUAGUACCUUUAAUGUGUAAGCUUUUUACGUUGAUAUGUUAAAUUCAUCUGUAUAUUUGUGUGAGGGAAAGUGAAUAUGUAUGAUGUGAAGUAGAGAGUUUUUUAAAAUGCUCUACAGAGGGACACCUGGGGAGGUCAGUCAAUUAAGCGUUGGAUUCUUGAUUUUGGCUCAGGUCAUGAUCUCAUGGUUUGUGGAAAAGAGCCCUACAUCGGGAUUUGUGCUGAAGGCAUGGGGCCUGCUUGGAAUUCUUUCUCUCUCUGCCCCUCCCCUGCUAAUGCUCAUACUCUCUCACAAAAUACAUAAAUAAACAUUUUUUUUAAAUGCUGUAAAGAGUAAAUGUCCUGUCAUCUAAAUUCUAUACUGAUUAUAUUGAAUUUUUUUUUCAUUAUACUUGGGUACCUUUCAAGGGAAUUUUGUUAUUUUCAAAAAAAUAAAAAUAAAAGAGCAAGGACCCAGGACCCUACUCAUUAAUUUUUUUAAUCCUUUUUUUAGUAAUCCAGCCUCUAAAUUUUACUUCCAGAUGGAUUACCUUUGUAGUCCUUAUAAAUCAAAAAUCAAGUAGGUAUAUUGAUUUGGGGGAGACUGGCCACAUCCAUGCUAAUAAAUGUUCUCUUGGUUACCCUGUUUAGCCAUGUUUUCUUCUAUGUAGUUUGGUUUGAAAAAAAAUUCUCUAAUAGGUUAUUACAUGUUUUCAAGUUUAUUACUGUCUAUUUGUGUGUAUAUGCAUACAUUAAACAGUUUCUUAUACAUCAGUAAUCACCAGUUAGAAAAUAGGAUAUUGGGAAAUUUUGUUACUAAAGUGUUUUUUGCUUGAUUCUCUUGGAUUAAUAAUAAUAAUGUACCUGAACAUAAAUUGUUUUUCUCCUUUCUGGUGCUUUAUAUCUUAUAUUUGUAUUUUUUUUUUCCUUUUUACUUUGGUGAGAACUUCCAGAGAACCAAAUAUUAGUACCUAUGUUUAUUGCCGCUGUUUGACUUUCAUGAAGAAAUACUUCUGGCGUUUCCCAA
rnacentral:lncRNA from 1 species